rnacentral:rRNA from 1 species
AUUGAACGCUGGCGGCAGGCCUAACACAUGCAAGUCGAACGAGUGGCGGACGGGUGCGUAAUGUCUGGGAAACUGCCUGAUGGUGGGGGAUCACUACCGGAAACGGUAGAUAAUACCGCCUACCAUCAGCUGUGCCCAGAUGGGAUUAGCUAGUAGGUUGGGUAAUGGCUCACCUAGGCGACGAUCCCUAGCUGGUCUGAGAGGAUGACCAGCCACACUGGAACUGAGCCAAGGUCCAGACUCCUACGGUAGGCAUCAGUGGGGAAUAUUGCACAAUGUGCGCAAGCCUGAUGCAGCCAUGCCGCGUGUGUUAAGAAGGCCUUCGGGUUGUAAAGCACUUUCAGCGAGGAGGCGUUACUCGCAGAAUAAGCACCGGCUAACUCCGUGCCAGCAGCCGCGGUAAUAC